rnacentral:misc_RNA from 1 species
UACGGAGGUGGCGAGCGUUGUUCGGAUUUACUGGGUGUAAAGGGCACGUAGGCGGUUUUGUAAGCUCUGUUUGAAAUUCACUGGCUCAACCAGUGGACGUGACAGGGAACUGCAAGACUUGAGGACUGGAGAGGUGAACGGAAUUCCCGGUGUAAGGGUGAAAUCUGUAGAUAUCGGGAGGAACACCAGUGGCGAAGGCGGUUCACUGGCCAGUUUCUGACGCUGAGGUGCGAAAGCUAGGGGAGCGAACAGG